rnacentral:rRNA from 1 species
UAGGGAAUAUUGGACAAUGGGUGAGAGCCUGAUCCAGCCAUGCCGCGUGCAGGAAGAAGGCGUUAUGCGUUGUAAACUGCUUUUUGCCAGGGGAUAAAAAGACCGUGCGCGGUUAAUUGAAGGUACCUGGUGAAUAAGCCACGGCUAACUACGUGCCAGCAGCCGCGGUAAUACGUAGGUGGCAAGCGUUGUCCGGAUUUAUUGGGUUUAAAGGGUGCGUAGGUGGCCCUGUAAGUCAGUGGUGAAAUAUCUCAGCUUAACUGAGGGGGUGCCAUUGAUACUGCAGGGCUUGAGUACAGAUGAGGUAGGCGGAAUUGACGGUGUAGCGGUGAAAUGCAUAGAUAUCGUCAAGAACACCGAUAGCGAAGGCAGCUUACCAAGCUGUAACUGACACUGAGGCACGAAAGUGUGGGGAUCAAACAGGAUUAGAUACCCCGGUAGUCCCUGAGCGGGCUGGCAAGGCGCAU